AAGGCUCCUAAUUCUUCC
rnacentral:misc_RNA from 1 species